UUACUCGAAAUUGAAUUUAUCUUCAUAUUUGGAGAGCAGGAGGAAACAAAGAAGCAAAUUGUUUCUUCAUCAUUUUAAUGAAGACAGUGAAGAUUCGUGAAAAAUACUAGUCAAGAUGUUUACUGCUAGAAUGAAGAGUUCGAAAGAUAAGGGUGAUGAACCAAUUGAGUUUGAGGAGAUUGUUGCUCUGUCAAUUAUUCGCGACUAUAGCAAUGAUAACAAAAAUAAAUAAAUGGGAGGACCUAGUUUCAUCCAAAUCAUCAACAACUACCAAGUUCAACAGGAAAAGAUAAGGAUCCCUCAAGGGUUUGUAACGGAAUAUGGAGAUGAUUUGCAUGCGGUUUUAUUGUUCCCGGUGGAAUUGAGUGGUUUGUUGAAAUUAAAAGAGACUCAAACUCUGAUGAUGGUGGUGUUUAUUUUAAGCAGGGUUUAAGCGAACUAUUUGAAAGUUACUCCACAACUUCAGGAACAUUUUUGGUGCUUAAGUACGAAGGAAUUUCUCAUUUUAAUGUUCGUAUAUGCCAAAUGAGUGGUGAAGAGGUCGACUACUCAUUCUUCCACGACAACGAUACAGGUGAUUAUUACAUCGAAGCUUCAGGUUAGUUUGUGUACUCUGAGUUGCGUACAUAUGAAAGUAAACUCGUAAUUCACAUGAAAAUUGUUUACAAGUCAAUGCAGUGCUAAUAGAAGUUGUUCUUGUAGUGCUUGCAAGUCAAUGCAGAUGGUAGUCUAAGUCUGGUAAGUGCUGCAUACGCAGUGUGGUUCAUUACCUUCACCAAGCUGUAAUUGUUACCAGCUGAAGGCAUUAUAGCCAGAUUAGUUUCUGAUGUGAGUUCCAUGUAGUGAAGGCGGUAGUCCAAGUGUGGUAAAUGUUGUAUAUGCAGUGUGGUUCAUUACUUUCACUAGGCCUUAAUGUUACAAGCUGAAGGCAUUAUAGCUGGAGUAGUCUCUGACCUGUAGCGUUAACUGAUAUUGAAGCAGCAGCAGUCAUUGUUAGUGUUUGAAGAAAGAAAAGAUAGUAUUGUGUUUUUUAUUGUUCCUUCAUCAGAUGUGGGUAUAAGAAUCCGCAGAAUUGGUGUUUGUUAGUAGAUAUAGCUGAAGAUCAACUUGGGCGUAGGACUACACCAGGCGGGAUUGGAAAAUGGAUGUUAUCAUGAUAUUCAAUUGAAUAUUUCUGUAUUGCCUACUUCUUUUUGACCCUCUUGGAAGUUAUCUUGUACAGAAGAUGUUCUUGAACUGUACUGAAGGAAAUGUUGAAAGUGUUGGAAAGCUUAACAGCAGGACAACAUGGACUUAUAAGUGUGCUAAACGAAGGUACUGUUAAGUUGAAUAAGGGCUCAAAUGGUCACCAUGUGACUCAACAUCACUUGAAGACUUUCUCAAACGAAGAGAAUAAGCAUCUUUUGCUUGCUUUAGCAAGCCACUAUGUUGACAUCGCCAGCCUCAGUGGGUGUUGUAUUUUGCAGCAAUGUGAUGUGUACAGAAAACAGAAGGACAUCUGCGAGACCACUUCGUUGGUGCAAUUAACAGAAAGUGCACUGGUUCAGCAUUAAAUCCGCAACUUUGAUGUGCAGUAUGUAGUGGCAUUGAGGAUAAGAAGAUCAUAAAAGUCGUGGUCUUAAAGGACAUUUUGAGACCCUAUCGACUAACAAGUUUAGCGGCAAUCCGGUGGAGAAGUUUCUGAAAGAAUCUGGUGAGGAGGUUUUUAUUGAGUUUGUCAAUCUGAUGCUUCUUCAAGAUCAGUGCAGCAACUUUCUGGUCCACCAAAUCCAGUUCUUUUGCUACUUGUAGUAAUUCGAUCCCUAAAAGUGCAGCUGUGGUCCUUUCUAGUCUCGGUUUUUGAGACAAUUGUCGCUAGGCACUCCGUCAUUGUGCUUCAGUUUGCAACUCCUUUCAGAGCAGUCUUUCUACCGUCGUUAUCUUGUUGCUUCGUCAAGAGUUUUUGGUAGUGGAGUUUGAAAUCUGACGGUCCUUAUAUAGGAAAGUCCAAAUGGCAGUUCACAUGUUAGACUUAGGUACCUGUCAUUGAAAUUUGAAAUAGGCUUCUCCUAAAUCUGAUGCGGGUAAAACGUAAUCUGCCAACUUGGUUCAUAGUUCAGGCCCAACAAUUGAUGUUGUCUAUCCAUGAGUUUUAUUAGCACAAAAUGUUGCAUUUACGAAAUGGUUUUCACAUGGAUUUGUUCAUUUUCUUAUCACUAGAAUAUGACCCGUGCGGUAACGGUCCGGGCUUUGAUAUUUUA